ensembl:Y_RNA Y_RNA Y RNA
GACUUGUCUAAAAGAAGUAGAUUGUGUAAAUUGAUUGUUCAUAGUCAGUUGCAGGUUAAUCUCCUUAUUCUUGUUUUCCCCUCUUCUCACUACUGCACUUGGCCAGUGUUUU